rnacentral:rRNA from 1 species
GACGAACGCUGGCGGCGUGCCUAAUACAUGCAAGUUGAGCGCUGAAGGCUGGUACUUGUACCAACUGGAUGAGCAGCGCACGGGUGAGUAACGCGUGGGGAAUCUGCCUUUGAGCGGGGGACAACAUUUGGAAACGAAUGCUAAUACCGCAUAAAAACUUUAAACACAAGUUUUAAGUGUGAAAGAUGCAAUUGCAUCACUCAAAGAUGAUCCCGCGUUGUAUUAGCUAGUUGGUGAGGUAAAGGCUCACCAAGGCGAUGAUACAUAGCCGACCUGAGAGGGCGGUCGGCCACACUGGGACGGUGACACGGCCCAAACUCCUACGGGAGGCAGCAGUAGGGAAACUUCGGCAAUGGACGAAAGUCUGACCGAGCAACGCCGCGUGAGUGAAGAAGGUUGUCGGGUCGUAAAACUCUGUUGGUAGGGAAGAACGUUGGUGAGAGUGGAAAGCUCAUCAAGUGACGGUAACUACCCAGAAAGGGACGGCUAACUACGUG